UACGUAGGGUGCAAGCGUUGUCCGGAAUUAUUGGGCGUAAAGAGCUUGUAGGCGGUUUGUCGCGUCUGCUGUGAAAUUUCGGGGCUCAACCCCGAACUUGCAGUGGGUACGGGCAGACUAGAGUGCGGUAGGGGAGACUGGAAUUCCUGGUGUAGCGGUGAAAUGCGCAGAUAUCAGGAGGAACACCGGUGGCGAAGGCGGGUCUCUGGGCCGAUACUGACGCUGAGGAGCGAAAGCGUGGGGAGCGAACAGG
rnacentral:rRNA from 1 species